rnacentral:rRNA from 1 species
CAGCCGCCACGGGAAUACGUAGGUGGCAAGCGUUGUCCGGAAUUAUUGGGCGUAAAGGGCUCGCAGGCGGUUUCUUAAGUCUGAUGUGAAAGCCCCCGGCUCAACCGGGGAGGGUCAUUGGAAACUGGGCAACUUGAGUGCAGAAGAGGAGAGUGGAAUUCCACGUGUAGCGGUGAAAUGCGUAGAGAUGUGGAGGAACACCAGUGGCGAAGGCGACUCUCUGGUCUGUAACUGACGCUGAGGAGCGAAAGCGUGGGGAGCGAACAGGAUUAGAUACCCCAGUAGUCCCUGUCUCUUAUAC